UACGUAGGGCGCAAGCGUUGUCCGGAAUUAUUGGGCGUAAAGAGCUCGUAGGCGGCUUGUCACGUCGGAUGUGAAAGCCCGGGGCUUAACCCCGGGUCUGCAUUCGAUACGGGCAGGCUAGAGUGUGGUAGGGGAGAUCGGAAUUCCUGGUGUAGCGGUGAAAUGCGCAGAUAUCAGGAGGAACACCGGUGGCGAAGGCGGAUCUCUGGGCCAUUACUGACGCUGAGGAGCGAAAGCGUGGGGAGCGAGCAGG
rnacentral:rRNA from 1 species